CGGCGCACGGGUGAGUAACGCGUAUGCAACCUGCCAUCCACUGGGGGAUAGCCCGGAGAAAUCCGGAUUAAUACCCCAUACAACCGUAAAGCCACAUGGUUUAACGGGAAAAGCUCUGGCGGUGGGUGAUGGGCAUGCGUGGCAUUAGUUAGUUGGUGGGGUAACGGCCCACCAAGGCGACGAUGCCUAGGGGGCCUGAGAGGGUAGUCCCCCACACUGGUACUGAGACACGGACCAGACUCCUACGGGAGGCAGCAGUGAGGAAUAUUGGUCAAUGGGCGCAAGCCUGAACCAGCCAUGCCGCGUGCAGGAUGACGGCCCUACGGGUUGUAAACUGCUUUUGCACGGGAAGAACCUCCCCGACGUGUCGGGGAUUGACUGUACCGUGAGAAUAAGCAUCGGCUAACUCCGUGCCAGCAGCCGCGGUAAUACGGAGGAUGCUAGCGCUAUCCGGAUUUAUUGGGUUUAAAGGGUGCGUAGGCUGGCGGAUAAGUCAGUGGUGAAAUCCUGCAGCUUAACUGUAGAAUUGCCAUUGAUACUGUUCGUCUUGAGUUCGGUUGAGGUAGGCGGAAUGUGUAAUGUAGCGGUGAAAUGCUUAGAUAUUACACAGAACACCGAUUGCGUAGGCAGCUUACUAAGCCGUUACUGACGCUGAGGCACGAAAGCGUGGGGAGCGAACAGGAUUAGAUACCCUGGUAGUCCACGCCGUAAACGAUGAUCACUAGCUGUUGGCGAUACAUUGUCAGCGGCAAAGCGAAAGCAUUAAGUGAUCCACCUGGGGAGUACGGCCGCAAGGUUGAAACUCAAAGGAAUUGACGGGGGCCCGCACAAGCGGUGGAACAUGUGGUUUAAUUCGAUGAUACGCGAGGAACCUCACCUGGGCUUAAAUGUUGGGUGCAUUCCCGGGAAACCGGGAUUCCCUUCGGGGCUUCCAACAAGGUGCUGCAUGGUUGUCGUCAGCUCGUGCCGUGAGGUGUCGGGUUAAGUCCCAUAACGAGCGCAACCCCUAUCGUUAGUUGCCAUCGGGUCAUGCCGGGGACUCUAGCGAAACUGCCGGUGUAAACCGCGAGGAAGGUGGGGAUGACGUCAAAUCAGCACGGCCCUUAUGUCCAGGGCUACACACGUGUUACAAUGGCCGGUACAGAGGGCAGCUACCU
rnacentral:rRNA from 1 species